CAGUAGCCGCGGUAAAACAGAGGGUGCAAGCGUUAAUCGGAAUUACUGGGCGUAAAGCGCGCGUAGGUGGUUUGUUAAGUUGGAUGUGAAAUCCCCGGGCUCAACCUGGGAACUGCAUCCAAAACUGGCAAGCUAGAGUAUGGUAGAGGGUGGUGGAAUUUCCUGUGUAGCGGUGAAAUGCGUAGAUAUAGGAAGGAACACCAGUGGCGAAGGCGACCACCUGGACUGAUACUGACACUGAGGUGCGAAAGCGUGGGGAGCAAACAGGAUUAGAUACCCCGGUAGUCCCUGUCUCUUAUAC
rnacentral:rRNA from 1 species